CCCUUAGACGUUCUGGGCCGCACGCGCGCUACACUGACCAGUGCAACAAGCAUCCGUCCUUGGCCGACAGGCCCGGGCAAUCUUUGAACGCUGGUCGUGCUGGGGAUAGAUUCUUGCAAUUAUUAAUCUUCAACGAGGAAUUCCUAGUAAACGCAAGUCAUCAGCUUGCAUUGAUUACGUCCCUGCCCUUUGUACACACCGCCCGUCGCACCUACCGAUUGAAUGGUCCGGUGAAAUCCUCGGAUCGAGCCGUGGGGCAACUCCGGUUCGAGAAGUUGAUUAAACCUUACCAUUUAGAGGAAGGUGAAGUCGUAACA
rnacentral:rRNA from 1 species